CAAAGAAGGACACCCAGAGAGGGGCAGCAGAGCUGACUGAUGUUUGAAGGACAGUCCAGAGUGAAGAGAAUAGAACAGAGCUUAUUAUCUGACAUUGGACAAGCGUUAAUCACUUUCUAGGCAGUUCCAAUCUUGGGCAUAGAGAGUGCAAAGCCACAAAAUGUAAACCAACUCAUAACAACCUUCUUGCUCCUUGUUGGCACACAGUGAGGGCCAGUCCACCAGUCCCACCUCUUCCGAUUCUCAGGUUGAGACCCGGUUGAUGUUUGGCAGCUGUACCAGAUGUUUCUUGGUUUCAUACAAAAGGUUCAAGACGUAGCGAGCAUGGAGCUGCUACUGGGAGGAAGAGGAGGGAAGGAAGAAAACAACACUGAUAUUCGUGAGGGAAAAUGGUCCUUACCUUUACUGCUUAACAACCCCCAUCACCUAAGACCCCAAAAGUAACCCCAGU
rnacentral:lncRNA from 1 species